GGACAUCGUCAGCAUUGUCGACGCCGGAGAUCGACGGCCACGAGCAUGACUUGUAUUUUGUCAUUUUAUGUAGUAGCGUAUUUUAUUUUGAUGUUUUUCCAUUUUUACCCUUAUGGGUAUUUGGUCGUUAAUGUAGCCCGAGGGGCAUUUUAAUCUUUUGUUUUUCUUUGUCAUUGUGAGGCCUAUUUAUAUGGCCAUUCUCUUGUAAUAAUUUAGUUUUUUUGAUGAAUGAAAAUUUGCCACUUUAUGUUCUCUUUGUGAGUGCAAGCCUCCACGAUCUCUUGGUGAGUUCGUAGGAGAAAACUAGAUCUCUUUGUGAGUUCUAGGUUUUCUUAUCCUUUUCUUUUCUUUUGCGUAUCUUGAUCAAGUCAUCGUUGCGCGGAUUUGGAUUAAAAAUUAUUUCGUGGGAAAUUGAAUUUUCACUCGUCGAAUUCCUAGAAAUUUUCCCUUUCGUCCUUCCCCUUGCAUUUGCCGUCGCCUAACAUUGCCCUACUCGGAGCCGCCGGCCACCUUGGCUGCAUCCUCCCGCCGGCCAACCUCCCUCUAGAUUUUUGUCCACGGGUACAGUCCCUCCCGUGCAGCCCUCUCCCCUCCCCUCCACCGGUCCUCAACUCCAGCAUAGCCUGAGCCGUGAGCCAUCUUUUUUCUCAGCUUACAGAAUUCUUUUCUGCACCCCUUUACUGCCAAUUCUCCCUGUGAUUGCCCAACCCGUGGGAAUUGAGCAUUCAAUGCUUGCUUAAUUGGCUCAUUCAAUCAGCCAUAUUAAGCAAUUAACCACUAGCCUCUAAUUUCAAUUUGAAUUUCAAAAGGAUGCUUAUUACGUACACCCGUGAAAGGAAACUUUCCUUUUAGUGAAAUCUGAUUUUACUACAGGUUUUAAUUAAAAUCUGUUACUUAAUCAAGUGGGCCCCACCUCAUCAAAACCGAAAACCCCUUCUCUCUCUCCCAUAUGGCCGGCCAUUUCAACCCCAUCGCUUCCCUCUCUAAUUGCCACCUCAUCACCUCUUAAUUACCUCCCAAAUGCCUCCCCACUCCAACGUAAAUUCAGUUUUUAUUCUCAGAUUUGGAAAUCUGAGAGUGGAAAGCAAAGUUAUUCCCUCAGAUUUUCUCUCCACCGUGACUUCAUGGGGCUUAUUCUCCCUAAGCUAUGCUGCUGAAUCUUCUUCCCUAAAAUGAGUGGAAUUCCUCUCAGAUUUCUGAGAGAGGAAGAGCUAAAACAUUUCAGAUUUCGGGCAACUGGGACGUAUAAUAGCUGUCCAAGAAUUGCAAGCUCCGGCUACUUAUCCAAGAACGACGAUCUAAGGGUCCUUCUUCCUCGGAGUGAUCUCGGUUCUAAUGUGGAGACGCUUCUUCCGCUAAAGCCUAGAUUAGUUGAGCGUACGGGUUCCAAAGGUGAAAGUUCUUAUUAUUAAAUUGUGGAUUUUUGUUCACCGUCGUAGUUUUACAAUUUGAACUUUGCGUUUUCUUAAAUUGUUUGGUUUCCAGAUUUUGCUCUUCCUUGCCUAAGCAAGUUAAAACCGAGAAUUCUAAUGAUCACUCUUUUAUUAUAAACGAUAAUUUUAUUUUGGGUUAUUAAGUUUCAAUUGCUCUCUAUAAUUUCUUAAAGUAACUCCAUCGCAUGUACGUUUCACAUCACCUAAUCUUACUUGAGUAAACUUUGUGAAUCUUAAUGAAUUUCAUGUGCAAUCCUUGAAUGUUUUACAUCAAUCUCUAUAAGCAAUGCAAUAGGAAAUAGAAGGGCAUAAUCCAUAUAUAUUCUUUCUCUACUGCAGGUUCUAUUGGCAGGCGGCAGCAUUUAAGAAUUGAUCACCAUUAGCUAUUCCUUUUGUUUCAGAUUACUUUUCAAUUUUUCUAUUGGAUAAAGGGAACUCCCUUUGCAGAAGAUCAGGGUAUUACUUUUCAAAUUUUCCAUUGGAGAAAGGGAACUCCCUUUGCAGAAUAUCAGGGUGUAUAUAAUAAUCUGACAUGGUGGGAGCAGAUUGAAAAUGACAAGUAGCUUAGACGUAAUCGGAAGUUUUUGACUGUUGUUCCUCUUGUCUUGUGAGUAUUUUAACUUGCGUAUGAUUGCUGACAAUUUGCGAGGAAAAAAUUAUUGCACUGGUCGAACUAUUUUAUUGGUAACUACCACCUCAUUCUUUCAUGUAGAAUUGCUCUUUAGUCUUUAUUCUUUUUUCUUUUCUGUGAAGUCAAUUUGAGAACAUAAUAAAAGAUUCAUUGAUGCUACAUAUUUAUUUUCUAGGAUAUGGAUGCCAAUGUUAUCAUCACUUUUUUUAUUAAUUAAAGAUGAUAUUGUGUCCGUUUCAA